rnacentral:lncRNA from 1 species
GUCGUGGAAGCUCGAAUGAAGUCCGCUUGCAAUAGAAGUCCGGAGUAGAGAUCCGACUGCUGGAGCCCGUCCGUUGUAGAAGUCCGUCUAGAAUCCAUCCGCUGCAGAAGCUCGGACGGAGUCCAGUUCUUGUAGGAGUCCGGAAGGAGGCCGCUGACUGUAGAAGCUCGGAUGGCCGGGGAAGUUCAGAAAGAUGCCGCACAAGGUCGGAAGUCAGAAGAGUCCUGAGAGGGUUGGCCUCUUACAGACUUCGGCUGAGGUUAUUUUAUACCCAACACCAAUUCCCUUACUUUUGAGUUUGGGUUUCGAAUGAAGAAAGUACAGAGAAAUUUUUACAGUCGAAGUUGCACCCCC